AGCGAACGCUGGCGGCAGGCUUAACACAUGCAAGUCGAACGGGCAUAGCAAUAUGUCAGUGGCAGACGGGUGAGUAACGCGUGGGAACGUACCUUUUGGUUCGGAACAACACAGGGAAACUUGUGCUAAUACCGGAUAAGCCCUUACGGGGAAAGAUUUAUCGCCGAAAGAUCGGCCCGCGUCUGAUUAGCUAGUUGGUAGGGUAAUGGCCUACCAAGGCGACGAUCAGUAGCUGGUCUGAGAGGAUGAUCAGCCACAUUGGGACUGAGACACGGCCCAAACUCCUACGGGAGGGAGCAGUGGGGAAUAUUGGACAAUGGGCGAAAGCCUGAUACAGCCAUGCCGGGUGAGUGAUGAAGGCCCUAGGGUUGUAAAGCUCUUUUGUGCGGGAAGAUAAUGACGGUACCGCAAGAAUAAGCCCCGGCUAACUUCGUG
rnacentral:rRNA from 1 species